UGGUGAUGAGCGGCCAAAGCCUCGUAAGAAGAUAGACUCUACUUCAGUAAAGGUGAAAACCGUAGUUCCAAAAAUUAAACUUCAUGAUCCUAAAUGGACUGAUGGAAGCAUUCCAUUGGAUGCACUUUCUGAUAAACUCUCAAAAAUUAGAAGGCUAUUGAGCGUAGAGAUGCAGCAGCAACUGCUGCUACUAGUGCUCUGCAAGAGGCGAUGCUCACUGAAUCAGUUGUCAGGAACCUAAGAUACUCUCAAGUGGAAGACAAUUGCUGAGUCUAUGGUGACCGUUGAGGCUGACGAUGCAUUCUUGGAGAAAUUAUCUCAUGAUUGGGCUCAUGCUGCCUUAGCCGCUGAUCUCGAAGUCCUCAAGCUACUGAAUGGUGCCACUGAAUCCAUCUCUUGAAUGAAGAGCACAAAUAGGCCAAAGGCGCCUUCAGUGGAACCACCAAGAACAAGCCUGUCCAGGAAGCAGUCACUUGGAUCUUCUGCAAAGGUCCAGCCUAAGGUCUCACCGAGCUCUCCAGCAUGCUCCACAUGGAACAACACUGAGAGCAUGUAUCAGACAGUUGAGUUUGCAAAGACCUUGUGGCGCGAGAUGCAUAUGUGGUUCCUGAAUUUUGUGGAUGAGGCACUGGAUGUGGGCUUCCACUUGUUUGAAGACGAAUAUGGCAAGUAAGGGAAAGAACAACAGCCAUAUAACAGUGGUUCUUUCACAAUUCAAGAAGAUCAGUGACUGGUUGGAUGGAGUUGGGAAGAUUGCUGAGGAGGAGAAAACAAAGGAGAAGAUUGAGUGCUUGAAGCGCAAGAUUUAUGGGUUUGUCAUUAGCCACAUGGGGUCUGCAUUUGAGAGCUCUGUCUCAGUUUCAUAUAGGAGUUGAGGGAUGCUUCAUGCUCUGAAGCUGUCUUCGAUUGCCAUUUUUUUCCUUUGGAUUAAGGUUAUCCAAUUCUACAGUGAAGUGGUGUGGGCUACAAUUGCAGUAGUGGUGUGUCUUUUUUUUUUAAUUUAUGACUUAAAGUCUGUGAAUAUGCAUUGUUUUGUGGUUAUGAUCUGAAAAUUACCGGUUAUGAAGAUAAUCAUGCCAUUACCGUUUCA